AGGACGAACGCUGGCGGCGUGCUUAACACAUGCAAGUCGAACGGAAAGGCCCUUCGGGGUACUCGAGUGGCGAACGGGUGAGUAACACGUGGGUGAUCUGCCCUGCACUUUGGGAUAAGCCUGGGAAACUGGGUCUAAUACCGAAUAUACCCUGCUGGUCGCAUGGCCUGGUGGGGGAAAGCUUUUGCGGUGUGGGAUGGGCCCGCGGCCUAUCAGCUUGUUGGUGGGGUGAUGGCCUACCAAGGCGACGACGGGUAGCCGGCCUGAGAGGGUGUCCGGCCACACUGGGACUGAGAUACGGCCCAGACUCCUACGGGAGGCAGCAGUGGGGAAUAUUGCACAAUGGGCGCAAGCCUGAUGCAGCGACGCCGCGUGAGGGACGACGGCCUUCGGGUUGUAAACCGUCUUUCAGUAGGACGAAGCGCGAGUGACGGUACCUACAGAAGAAGGACCGGCCAACUACGUGCCAGCAGCCGC
rnacentral:rRNA from 1 species